rnacentral:rRNA from 1 species
GAGUUUGAUCGUGGCUCAGAUUGAACGCUGGCGGCAGGCCUAACACAUGCAAGUCGAGCGGUAGAGAGAAGCUUGCUUCUCUUGAGAGCGGCGGACGGGUGAGUAAUGCCUAGGAAUCUGCCUGGUAGUGGGGGAUAACGCUCGGAAACGGACGCUAAUACCGCAUACGUCCUACGGGAGAAAGCAGGGGACCUUCGGGCCUUGCGCUAUCAGAUGAGCCUAGGUCGGAUUAGCUAGUUGGUGAGGUAAUGGCUCACCAAGGCGACGAUCCGUAACUGGUCUGAGAGGAUGAUCAGUCACACUGGAACUGAGACACGGUCCAGACUCCUACGGGGAGCAGCAGGUGGGGAAUAGUUGGACAAGUGGGACGAAAGCCUGAUCCAGCCAUGCCGCGUGUGUG